GAGCAGUGUGCUACAUAAUAGUUGAAUUAGCAGUAUAACAAAAUAGUAAUUCUGCCAGUUUCCUUCGGACAGUU
ensembl:snoRNA